rnacentral:rRNA from 1 species
AGUGAACGCUGGCGGUAGGCCUAACACAUGCAAGUCGAACGGCAGCACAGGAGAGCUUGCUCUCUGGGUGGCGAGUGGCGGACGGGUGAGGAAUACAUCGGAAUCUACUCUGUCGUGGGGGAUAACGUAGGGAAACUUACGCUAAUACCGCAUACGACCUACGGGUGAAAGCAGGGGACCUUCGGGCCUUGCGCGAUUGAAUGAGCCGAUGUCGGAUUAGCUAGUUGGCGGGGUAAAGGCCCACCAAGGCGACGAUCCGUAGCUGGUCUGAGAGGAUGAUCAGCCACACUGGAACUGAGACGCGGUCCAGACUCCUACGGGAGGCAGCAGUGGGGAAUAUUGGAAAAUGGGCGCAAGCCUGAUCCAGCCAUACCGCGUGGGUGAAGAAGGCCUUCGGGUUGUAAAGCCCUUUUGUUGGGAAAGAAAUCCAGCUGGCUAAUACCCGGUUGGGAUGACGGUACCCAAAGAAUAAGCACCGGCUAACUUCGUGCCAGCAGCCGCCGUAA